GUGACCUCGGAUCAAGAAGAAAACUAU
rnacentral:rRNA from 1 species